UACGGAGGGUGCAAGCGUUGUCCGGAUUUAUUGGGUUUAAAGGGUGCGUAGGCGGUUCUUUAAGUCUGGGGUGAAAGCCCGUUGCUCAACAACGGAACUGCCCCUGGAAACUGGAGGACUUGAGUACAGACGAGGGUGGCGGAAUGGAUGCUGUAGCGGUGAAAUGCAUAGAUAGCAUCCAGAACCCCCGAUUGCGAAGCAGCUGCCUAGACUGUAACUGACGCUGAGGCACGAAAGCGUGGGGAGCGAACAGG
rnacentral:rRNA from 1 species